GCGGACCUGUGAGCCAUGACACCUAGAGGGCCCUCAAUAAGAGGGUGGCAGGUCGGGCCAGGCUAGAGCCUGGACCUGGGGUAAGGAAGGGGUUACAGGGAGGUAUGGAGGGGCCCAAAACCCUGGGCCCCUGUGGCCACUCCCACCCCCAGUGCCCCCAGCCGUCAGCUUCAAGCAGCCACGGAGGAUGCCUGGAUUCACCCUGCCAGGGCUUUGUAAGGUGGCCCUGCCUGGUGCCUCUCAGCUCCACUCACUCCAUAGAGUCUGCCAGGCCUUUCCCACCUCCGGGGGCAGGGGGUGGGGGGCCCAGGGUCGGGGGUGAGGUACCUGGGAACUUUAUGGCAAGCGAAGAGGGCGAGAUGCAGCGACAGAGACCGAGAGACCCAGCGGGGGCAAGACAAGCACAAGUGGAGGCAAGGCUGGGGUGGGGAUGGCCCCUGCACUCGGGGCGAGAGCAAGGGGCACCUAGGCAGGGGGGGUCCCCCAGCUCAGGGCCCAGACCUUGCCCUUGCCCACCCCUGCCAACGGGGUCAGGAACCCCGGCCUCGCCCAGGGCAGCCCCCUCCCCUCUCCAGAGCAUGCCCCUGGAUCCUGCAGAGCAGUCCUUCCUCCAGCUGGAGCAGGAAAACCAGAAUCUGAAAAGACAGAACCAGGACCUGCGGGAGCAGCUGGGGGCCCUCCUGGGGCCAGGGCAGCAGUUCCUACCCCUGUGCACAGAGCACACGAGCUGCACAGCCCUGGCCUGGCCCCCCGAGCAGGCCAGUACCCGGCCCCUGGAGGACAGGGCACCCUUGCAGCUGCUUCGGCGCGAGCUGUGCCGGGGGGAGGAGUCCUUCGUGCAGCAGUCGCAGAAUGAGCUGCAGCAGAUCCGACUAUCCUUUGAGAGAAAGAAGAUGGCCAUUACCGAGGUGUGGGACGGCGUGGCCGAGGUGCACAUGGCUCUGAACAACCAGGCUACAGGGCUCCUGAACCUCAAGAAGGACAUCCGGGGAGUACUAGACCAGAUGGAGGACAUUCAGCUGGAGAUUCUGGGGGAGCGGGCCCAGUGCCGCACCCAGGCCAGGAAGGAGCAGCAGAUGGCGUGCGUAGAGAAGGCAAGGCCGCAACAGCUGGGAUGUUCGGAGGGCCUCAAAGGCCAGCUCUGGCCGGAGGCCCGGCGGCCCCAGCGAGGAGGAGGCCAAGCGGCCGGCGUGGCCCCAGGUGCCCAGCGGCCGCGCUGGCCCCUGCCCACGGCACUGCCGCGCACCGUCCCCGCCAGGAGCUGCGGAGAAGGGUAGAGGCGGGGUCUGUCCUGAGGGCUGGGCCUGCUGCUGGACAUAUAGUCGUGACACACACGGUGCGUGUGAGCUUGUUUCCAUGGAAACGGGGGGGUGGCGCAGGCAGGAGGUUUUGCCGCCUUCUGAGGCCAGUCUCACACCAAGGUUUCCUCAGGGAGGGGCCUCUCCCUUAGGGACCGUAUGCCCCAUCCGCCUGCUGGCCAGGCAGCCCCUCCGCGGGAAGCCCCCAGCCCACCCCAGGCCACCAGGGAGGCCUCUGAGCAGAGGGUGUCAUAGGGCAGUCUCCACUGAAAUUGAGGACCAGGGGUCCUCGGGCCUCAUCCCUGGGGCCAGGCCCGAUCAGCAGACCAGAUCAGGUUCUCGGCCCUGAAUCUGCUGACCCACCAACUUGGCAGCCCUUGCAUAACCCUCCAUCCCCAUCUGGCCGACCACACCACCCCCUCCACACUCGACCGGCCACCAGUACCCCCCACCUCCCACUCCUGUCCCCUCCCCCAACCUAGGAUCCCUGUCCAGUCCAGCCUCCUGGCAUUGCCCCAAGGCUCGGAGGACAGGGGGACCACGUUGGUGGACAGAGCUGUGGAGGGAUGCCGCAGACCCACGGGAGCCUCAUGCUUGUCAGCCAAAGACCCAUCGGCCAGCCCCCACCUCCCAAGC